GCCAGUGUGGUGGAAUUGGUAGACACGAUGGAUUCAAAAUCCAUUGCCUAUAAAGCGUGCCGGUUCGAGUCCGGCCACUGGUA
rfam:Marinomonas aquimarina strain CECT 5080 genome assembly, contig: 0005